rnacentral:rRNA from 1 species
UUGACCUCGGAUCAGGUAGGAAUACCCGCUGAACUUAAGCAUAUCAAUAAGCGGAGGAAAAGAAACCAACAGGGAUUGCCCCAGUAACGGCGAGUGAAGCGGCAACAGCUCAAAUUUGAAAUCUGGCCCCUCCGGGUCCGAGUUGUAAUUUGUAGAGGAUGCUUUUGGUGAGGUGCCGCCCGAGUUCCCUGGAACGGGACGCCACAGAGGGUGAGAGCCCCGUCUGGCUGGCCACCGAGCCUCUGUAAAGCUCCUUCGACGAGUCGAGUAGUUUGGGAAUGCUGCUCAAAAUGGGAGGUAUAUGUCUUCUAAAGCUAAAUAUUGGCCAGAGACCGAUAGCGCACAAGUAGAGUGAUCGAAAGAUGAAAAGCACCUUGAAAAGAGGGUUAAACAGUACGUGAAAUUGUUGAAAGGGAAGCGCUUGUGACCAGACUUGGGCGCGGCGGAUCAUCCGGGGUUCUCUCCGGUGCACUUCGCCGCGUUCAGGCCAGCAUCAGUUCGUCGCGGGGGAAAAAGGCUUCGGGAACGUGGCUCCUCCGGGAGUGUUAUAGCCCGUUGCAUAAUACCCUGCGGUGGACUGAGGACCGCGCAUCUGCAAGGAUGCUGGCGUAAUGGUCACCAGCGACCCGUCUUGAAACACGGACCAAGGAGUCGUCUUCGUAUGCGAGUGUUCGGGUGUCAAACCCCUACGCGUAAUGAAAGUGAACGCAGGUGAGAGCUUCGGCGCAUCAUCGACCGAUCCUGAUGUUCUCGGAUGGAUUUGAGUAAGAGCAUACGGGGCCGGACCCGAAAGAAGGUGAACUAUGCCUGUAUAGGGUGAAGCCAGAGGAAACUCUGGUGGAGGCUCGCAGCGGUUCUGACGUGCAAAUCGAUCGUCAAAUAUGGGCAUGGGGGCGAAAGACUAAUCGAACCUUCUAGUAGCUGGUUUCCGCCGAAGUUUCCCUCAGGAUAGCAGUGUUGAGCUCAGUUUUAUGAGGUAAAGCGAAUGAUUAGGGACUCGGGGGCGCUAUAUUGCCUUCAUCCAUUCUCAAACUUUAAAUAUGUAAGAAGCCCUUGUUACUUAG